rnacentral:sRNA from 1 species
GUCACUCGCUCCCCCGGCCAUGGCGCCGUCGAGUGACCAGCCCCAGUCAUCACGAUCCAAGGAUCAGGGAGGUGCCCCGAUGACUACGUUUCCUGUAGGUGAGCAGACCCACCAGGCUGUGCUUCCUCAGCAGCCUGCUCUGGAAUCCGUGGGAGCAGACACCCCUGGGAGCAGGGACGAAACGGCGCACGGACAUCCCGCAACCGCGCGGGGCACCGGCAGGGAACAUGGGCGAGGGGAGACCGAAGGG